AACCUAGAUGUAUACUUACACACACAUCCGCCCGGGUACUACGAGCACAGCUUAAAACCCAAAGGACUUGGCGGUGUCUCAGACCCACCUAGAGGAGCCUGUUCUAGAACCGAUAACCCCCGUUAAACCUCACCACUUCUUGUUUUCCCCGCCUAUAUACCGCCGUCGUCAGCUUACCCUGUGAAGGCCUAGCAGUAAGCAAAAUGGGCCCGCCCAAAAACGUCAGGUCGAGGUGUAGCGCACGAAGUGGGAAGAAAUGGGCUACAUUUUCUACAAUAGAAUAUUACGAAUGGCACCCUGAAACAAAUGCCUGAAGGUGGAUUUAGUAGUAAAAAGCAAAUAGAGAGUCCUUUUGAAUUAGGCUCUGAGACGCGCACACACCGCCCGUCACUCUCCCCUCAUAUAUUAAAUUCAAACCCAAUAUUCCUAAUUAAAUAUUUUCCAACACGGGGAGGCAAGUCGUAACAUGGUAAGUGUACCGGAAGGUGCACUUGGAAUAAUCA
rnacentral:rRNA from 1 species